rnacentral:rRNA from 1 species
UACGUAGGUGGCAAGCGUUGUCCGGAUUUAUUGGGCGUAAAGCGAGCGCAGGCGGUUUUCUAAGUCUGAUGUGAAAGCCCCCGGCUCAACCGGGGAGGGUCAUUGGAAACUGGGAGACUUGAGUGCAGAAGAGGAGAGUGGAAUUCCAUGUGUAGCGGUGAAAUGCGUAGAUAUAUGGAGGAACACCAGUGGCGAAGGCGGCUCUCUGGUCUGUAACUGACGCUGAGGCUCGAAAGCGUGGGGAGCAAACAGGAUUAGAUACCCUGCUAGUCCACGCCGU